UCUGUGAAGAGACACGGAAGGUGUAGCAUAAGUGGGAGCCUUGGCGCAAUUGAAAUACCACUACUCCCGUCGUUUCUUUACUUAUUCAGUGAGACGGGGGACGUGCAUGCAGAUGCACAGACUUCUGGCGUUAAAGGACAGUCUUCGGACUGACUUGACCCGCUCUGAAGACAGUGUCAGGCGGGGAGUUUGACUGGGGCGGUACAUCUAUCAAACGGUAACGUAGGUGUCCUAAGGUGAGCUCAGCGAGGACGGAAACCUCGCGUAGAGCAAAAGGGCAAAUGCUCACUUGAUUUUGAUUUUCAGUAUGAAUACAGACCGUGAAAGCGUGGCCUAUCGAUCCUUUUGAACUUGGGGAAA
rnacentral:rRNA from 1 species